rnacentral:rRNA from 1 species
GUGAACGCUGGCGGUAGGCCUAACACAUGCACGUCGAACGGCAGCACAGUAAGAGCUUGCUCUUACGGGUGGCGAGUGGCGGACGGGUGAGGAAUACAUCGGAAUCUACUUUUUCGUGGGGGAUAACGUAGGGAAACUUACGCUAAUACCGCAUACGACCUACGGGUGAAAGCAGGGAUCUUCGGACCUUGCGCGAUUGAAUGAGCCGAUGUCGGAUUAGCUAGUUGGCGGGGUAAAGGCCCACCAAGGCGACGAUCCGUAGCUGGUCUGAGAGGAUGAUCAGCCACACUGGAACUGAGACACGGUCCAGACUCCUACGGGAGGCAGCAGUGGGGAAUAUUGGACAAUGGGCGCAAGCCUGAUCCAGCCAUACCGCGUGGGUGAAGAAGGCCUUCGGGUUGUAAAGCCCUUUUGUUGGGAAAGAAAAGCAGCAGGUUAAUACCCCGCUGUUCUGACGGUACCCAAAGAAUAAGCACCGGCUAACUUCGUG